rnacentral:tRNA from 1 species
GGGGAUAUAGUACAACCUGGCAGUACGGCCGGCUCCAGACCGGCUAAUUAGGGUUCAAAUCCCUAUGUCCCCA